UACGUAGGUGGCAAGCGUUGUUCGGAAUUACUGGGCGUAAAGCGUGCGCAGGCGGUUUUGUAAGCCGGAUGUGAAAUCCCCGGGCUUAACCUGGGAAUGGCAUUCGGGACUGCAAGGCUGGAGUGCGGCAGAGGAGACUGGAAUUCCUGGUGUAGCAGUGAAAUGCGUAGAUAUCAGGAGGAACACCGAUGGCGAAGGCAGGUCUCUGGGCUGACACUGACGCUCAUGCACGAAAGCGUGGGGAGCAAACAGG
rnacentral:rRNA from 1 species